AAGGAGCCGUCGUGCAGGUUAAUCUUUGCAGAGAAAAAGAGCUUUGCUGGUUCGGUCAUGUUGGAGCGGUGGGGAAAGACGGACAUCCCAGCGUAGGGUCCUGACAUACCUUAGUUUACUCAACAUCCUUCUGUUAGACGCCACGAGACCCCUGACAGCAAGAGGCGUUGCACUGGACCCAGUGUCCAGGCGGAGGCAGACCAGGUGAACAAAUGAUUUCUUCCCGCCUGUGUCAUAGCCGGAAGACGGCAGGUGCAAGAAACCGUGGCUGCUUUCAUCCAGGAGCAAGCAGAAAAUGCACCUGACUUAGGACGCAGUCUAGCCCCGGAAACAAAUCCAGGGACUUGAUUCUCCUCAGCCUCUGCAGCUCGAUUUGGAGAAAAUACUUUACCUUAGAAACAGGGUGUCAAGAAUUAAAGGAAAUAUUGGAUUUAGAAUUCAGGCUGCGAGCAAGAAAAAUGACUUUCCGGUUAUCUUCGCCAUUUCCCCCAGUAGUGCUGGUUGCUAUAUGAAUUCAGUUCACGGCUGAGGGCAUUGAGGAUAUUAUAUUUCUUAAACACCGAGGACCGUGCCGUGCUCGUGUUAACCACGAUUUUACGUGAGCAACCGGAGAAGGAUUUUAAAUUCUUCGACUCCAGUGAAAAGAACGCAGAAAGUGGGGACCGGUGCAUCCCCUGGUGGACUUUGUUUGGGAAUCGUGUGCGAGGGAAAUAGGUCUCUUGCAGGUCUGAGCGGCUCUGUGUCGUGAUCCCCACCCCAGCCAGGUACUUCAAAAUGAACAGUACUGAUUUGUAGCCGGACCAGAGUCAUCGGGAUAGUUUUCAGGGCUCAGUAGCUAAAGCCAACCAUCCAAGUAACCAACCAAGCUACCAAUCAAUCCGAACUCUUCUGUUCUCUGCUGUUGGGAGAGUCAUUACGGAUGAUGGCUGCCAUUAUGGAAGCAUCGUUGGAAGCCAAAACACAGUGACCUAACGGUGGUGCAUCCAAUCCUGACUUCCCUUCGGACUGCUUCCGGCACGGUGCCCAGGGGGCCCGUCCAACCACAGACCCAAUCCCGCCCCCAUCGAGCCAUCCACCCGACGGCAGCUCAGCUUGGUGCUCCGCACAGAUGCUUCCAGUUCGUUUUUACAGCAACCCCGCAAGGUAGG
rnacentral:lncRNA from 1 species